GACGAGGUGGCCGAGCGGUCUAAGGCGCUAGAUUCAGGGCUACCUCGAGUUUCAGGGAGAAACUUUUAGACCCGUAAGGGCGUGGGUUCAAAUCCCAUCCUCGUCA
rnacentral:tRNA from 1 species